CCUACGGGCGGCAGCAGUAGGGAAUUUUCGGCAAUGGGGGGAACCCUGACCGAGCAACGCCGCGUGAAGGAAGAAGGUACAGCGUAUCGUAAACCUCUUUUGUCAGGGAACAAAGGCGGGGACUAGUCCCCGGAUGAGGGUACCUGAAGAAAAAGCAUCGGCUAACUCCGUGCCAGCAGCCGCGGUAAUACGGAGGAUGCGAGCGUUAUCCGGAUUUAUUGGGUUUAAAGGGUGCGCAGGCGGCCUGUUAAGUCAGCGGUAAAAGCCCGGGGCUCAACCCCGGCGAGCCGGUGAAACUGGCGGGCUGGAGUUGGAGAGAAGUACGCGGAAUGCGCGGUGUAGCGGUGAAAUGCUUAGAUAUCGCGCAGAACCCCGAUUGCGAAGGCAGCGUACCGGCUCCACACUGACGCUGAGGCACGAAAGCGUGGGUAUCGAACAGGAUUAGAUACCCCAGUAGUC
rnacentral:rRNA from 1 species